rnacentral:rRNA from 1 species
UACGUAGGCAGCAAGCGUUGUUCGGAAUUACUGGGCGUAAAGAGUGUGUAGGCGGUGCUCUAAGUCUGUUGUGAAAUCUCCCGGCUUAACUGGGAGGGUGCGGCGGAGACUGGAGUGCUAGAGUGUGGGAGAGGUAAGCGGAAUUCCUGGUGUAGCGGUGAAAUGCGCAGAUAUCAGGAAGAACACCCGUGGCGAAGGCGGUUCUCUGGGACGGUACUGACGCUGAGACGCGAAAGCGUGGGGAGCGAACAGG